rnacentral:rRNA from 1 species
CACGUAGGGCGCAAGCGUUGUCCGGAAUUAUUGGGCGUAAAGAGCUCGUAGGCGGUCUGUUACGUCUGCUGUGAAAACCCUGGGCUUAACCCUGGGCUUGCAGUGGAUACGGGCAGACUAGAGGCAGGUAGGGGAGAAUGGAAUUCCCGGUGUAGCGGUGAAAUGCGCAGAUAUCGGGAGGAACUCCGGUGGCGAAGGCGGCGUGCUGGACCUUUUCUGACGCUGAGGCGCGAAAGCCAGGGGAGCGAACGGG